rnacentral:lncRNA from 1 species
UGUGAUGCUGAAGGCCACUGGAGACGAAACUGUCCACUUUACCUGGAGAGCCUGAAGACCAAAAAAGAUGAUAAAUCUUCGGAAGGUAUGCUCAUAAUUAAAUCUAAUCUAAUGAUUUCUUCUACUUCUAGUUAGAUAUUAGAUUCUGGUUCGAAUGCUCAUAUAUGAACCUUAAUGCAGGCUCUAAUAGAAAGUAAGAGGUUAAGGAAAGAUGACAUGAUCCUUC